UGCCAGCAGCCGCGGUAAUACGGAGGGUGCAAGCGUUAAUCGGAAUUACUGGGCGUAAAGCGCGCGUAGGCGGUUUGUUAAGUCGGAUGUGAAAGCCCUGGGCUCAACCUGGGAAUUGCAUACGAUACUGAUCGACUAGAGUACGAGAGAGGGAGGUAGAAUUCCACGUGUAGCGGUGAAAUGCGUAGAUAUGUGGAGGAAUACCGGUGGCGAAGGCGGCCUCCUGGCUCGAUACUGACGCUGAGGUGCGAAAGCGUGGGUAGCAAACAGGAUUAGAUA
rnacentral:rRNA from 1 species